GAAGGUGUGUCGUGAGGCAUGCUGGAGGUAUCAGAAGUGCGAAUGCUGACAUAAGUAACGAUAAAGCGGGUGAAAAGCCCGCUCGCCGGAAGACCAAGGGUUCCUGUCCAACGUUAAUCGGGGCAGGGUGAGUCGACCCCUAAGGCGAGGCCGAAAGGCGUAGUCGAUGGGAAACGGGUUAAUAUUCCCGUACUUGGUGUUACUGCGAAGGGGGGACGGAGAAGGCUAUGUUGGCCGGGCGACGGUUGUCCCGGUUUAAGCGUGUAGGUGUGUGUUCCAGGUAAAUCCGGUUCACUUUAACACUGAGGCGUGAUGACGAGGCACUACGGUGCUGAAGCAACAAAUGCCCUGCUUCCAGGAAAAGCCUCUAAGCAUCAGGUAACAUCAAAUCGUACCCCAAACCGACACAGGUGGUCAGGUAGAGAAUACCAAGGCGCUUGAGAGAACUCGGGUGAAGGAACUAGGCAAAAUGGUGCCGUAACU
rnacentral:rRNA from 1 species